CGACGAAUCGAGAAAAAUCCAUCCAACAUGGCGGCUCUUGCAAGCGAAGGGAUUCCACACAUGGUUUAACUUGGUGAAGCUGGUGCAUAGCAGUGAGACAUGGUUCAAUGGCAUGGAAGUGCAAAGUGUGUGCUGUCUCGUCAGACACCCGGGCUCAGUUAUUUAGGCACUAUUGUUUGAAGCAUAGCCAGUACUCAAUAGUUAGCCCUUUGCCAUUUGUCUAUGACUCUUGCAUUUUUUACAUUUCAAUCAUUUAUCAUUGCAGGAAGUUGAGAAAAGUGAGAAGAACCUCAUCUUGAUAGAAAAGCUCAUGCAGACGACUUUUGCCCUUCGUCGCCAGGAGAUCGUUCAGGAAAAUCCCUUGGUCGGGACUUUUUAGAGAAAUGUCCUCCGGAUGGAAUCACAGGUUUGUGCCGAGUUUCACCGAAUCACAAACGUCAACCUACAGAACCAGUUCUUUUCUGAACUAGACGGCCUGCGACUGAUUGCCUUGCACAGGCAGAAGGCGGCACGCACUGGCAAGGUAUCUGAGGCCCUGCGUGAAAUCCUAAGGGUUUGUGAUCCAGGAAGUACAGGAUGUCCACAUGAAACGCAAUGCAGCCCUUCAAGCCCUGCCGUUAUACCUGCUGCGUGAGGAGGACCCACAGUUCUUCAAGUCUUGGAGCGUGGACUCUAUGCAUUUCCAGGCAGAGGAGGUGGACCGGCCAGACAUCACCAACACACCGGUUGCUAUGGUCACCGAGGGCACUCCAAGUCAAGUUGAUCUCAGUCCGGCAAGUACUGCUAUUCUGGUGGAAGGUGAUUUCGUCAUCAGCAAUAUCCGCAGGAUGGCGGAUUCCUUUGCAUUGUUGUUCGGCUUGAUGUACGUCAGUGACCACCAACUGGCGGCCCGCGGGCCACAUCCGGCCCGCCAGACAUUCUCAUCCGGCCCACACGACGGGGGUGACUGUGGCGUUGGCGGAGUGGUUACUGCGUUCGCCCCCCACCCAUUUCUUUGUUUACAACGUCCCGUGAGUAAGGUGCAGUACCGGAGUCCAACAGAGAGGCAGCAGCUGCAGGACAGUAGACUGCGUACUGCGAAACCUUCCCUCCCUUGAAGAAGAAGUGAUCCUUCGUUGUGAAGAGUCUGGUUAAUGC